AGGUAAUGUCUCCUGUACCUAUAUCACUGGAGGCACUCGGUCAUGCUGUGGGUCGAUAGACCUUAGACGUAAAUCGUCAAGAGUGUGACGUGAGGAUGGGUUUGAUGCCUG
rfam:Paenibacillus sp. Soil522 contig_18, whole genome shotgun sequence.